UCCUAAACUUGCCAAGUGUCCUUUUAUUAACCCAAUCAUGAAACAACCCAACUCGAACCAUGUUUAUUUAGUUAACCGAUUAAUCUAGCUUGGGUGACUUAAUCUCUAUAACCAACAUCAAUUAAAAUAAAAAACCCAAAAAUCAAAAUUAGAGAUUAAACAAGGCACAAAAAAAAUACCCCACAAGCUUCAUCGCAACGCAGCCCUCCUCAAAAGCUUCAUCGCAACGCAGCAGGGCUGUCCGAGUUCAUCAUCUUCACCAUUCAGCUUUGACGAAAUAUUCACGGAUGAAGCUUCGAAUCUCUUCCCAAAGCUUCCACUCCGAAUGUUUCAUCUGUUAAAUUGUUUGAAAAUUCGGUAUCUGCUGGACGAAGCACACCACCUGUUCGAUCAAAUGCCUAAGAGGAAGAUGAAUCAAACUGUAAGGAUAGUGCCAAUAAGGAUAGUGCCGAUGAGGAAAUGCAGAUAAGGAUAGUGCCGAUGAUGAGAUUUUUGGUGGUGACAAGAGAAAAGUGUAUACAGGGUAUCAUUAUUAUUAGAGAUGAAGAACCAAUUAUAUCACAAGUAAAAGAUCUUGCCCCCAAGUUUCUUUGGGACAUUGAAGUGCAUCUUUUGGCAGAUGAUCAGACAAGACCAGCAACUCAGUUUUAUUUUGCCGGAAGAAGGUUUGGGCCAUUGUUUAAGUUGCAGAGCUUCGUGGCCGGUUGUUGUUCUUAAGUAACUACAUACAGAUCGAUUCCUGUACUAUAGAAAAAGUCAAACCAGACUUUUUUAGGUAAAAGUUAUCGUCAGAAUAGACUGUUUAUUGAUCAUUAGUAGAUUGAUUUUGUAAAUUCUUAGGUGCAGCUCUUUUUUCAUGGCACCAGGAGGAAGGUACAGAAAUCUCUGUUUUUUUCAACAGAAUUGUAACUUUCGAAUGAAUUCUGUGGUUAGAAGCCUAUGUAGCAUCCAAACAAUUUUUUUCAUUGUUCA